UAACACGUAUCCAACCUGCCGUCUACUCUUGGACAGCCUUCUGAAAGGAAGAUUAAUACAAGAUGGCAUCAUGGGUUCACAUGUUCACAUGAUUAAAGGUAUUCCGGUAGACGAUGGGGAUGCGUUCCAUUAGUUAGUAGGCGGGGUAACGGCCCACCUAGUCUUCGAUGGAUAGGGGUUCUGAGAGGAAGGUCCCCCACAUUGGAACUGAGACACGGUCCAAACUCCUACGGGAGGCAGCAGUGAGGAAUAUUGGUCAAUGGGCGAGAGCCUGAACCAGCCAAGUAGCGUGAAGGAUGACUGCCCUAUGGGUUGUAAACUUCUUUUAUAAAGGAAUAAAGUCGGGUAUGCAUACCCGUUUGCAUGUACUUUAUGAAUAAGGAUCGGCUAACUCCGUGCCAGCAGCCGCGGUAAUACGGAGGAUCCGAGCGUUAUCCGGAUUUAUUGGGUUUAAAGGGAGCGUAGAUGGAUGUUUAAGUCAGUUGUGAAAGUUUGCGGCUCAACCGUAAAAUUGCAGUUGAUACUGGAUAUCUUGAGUGCAGUUGAGGCAGGCGGAAUUCGUGGUGUAGCGGUGAAAUGCUUAGAUAUCACGAAGAACUCCGAUUGCGAAGGCAGCCUGCUAAGCUGCAACUGACAUUGAGGCUCGAAAGUGUGGGUAUCAAACAGGAUUAGAUACCCUGGUAGUCCACACGGUAAACGAUGA
rnacentral:rRNA from 1 species